UACGUAGGGUGCGAGCGUUGUCCGGAAUUAUUGGGCGUAAAGAGCUCGUAGGCGGUCCGUCACGUCGGCUGUGAAAACCUGGGGCUCAACCCCGGGCCUGCAGUCGAUACGGGCAGACUAGAGUGCGGUAGGGGAGACUGGAAUUCCUGGUGUAGCGGUGAAAUGCGCAGAUAUCAGGAGGAACACCGGUGGCGAAGGCGGGUCUCUGGGCCGUAACUGACGCUGAGGAGCGAAAGCGUGGGGAGCGAACAGG
rnacentral:rRNA from 1 species